rnacentral:rRNA from 1 species
UUGAACGCUGGCGGCAUGCUUUACACAUGCAAGUCGAACGGUAACAGGUCUUCGGAUGCUGACGAGUGGCGAACGGGUGAGUAAUGCAUCGGAACGUGCCCCAGUCGUGGGGGAUAACGCAGCGAAAGCUGUGCUAAUACCGCAUACGAUCUAUGGAUGAAAGCGGGGGACCUUCGGGCCUCGCGCUACUGGAGCGGCCGAUAUCAGAUUAGGUAGUUGGUGGGGUAAAGGCCUACCAAGCCGACGAUCUGUAGCUGGUCUGAGAGGACGACCAGCCACACUGGGACUGAGACACGGCCCAGACUCCUACGGGAGGCAGCAGUGGGGAAUUUUGGACAAUGGACGCAAGUCUGAUCCAGCAAUGCCGCGUGCAGGACGAAGGCCUUCGGGUUGUAAACUGCUUUUGUACAGAACGAAAAGGCUCUGGUUAAUACCUGGGGCUCAUGACGGUACUGUAAGAAUAAGCACCGGCUAACUACGUG